rnacentral:rRNA from 1 species
CUACAAAGGAAUUGACGGGACCCGCACAAGCGGUGGAUGAUGUGGAUUAAUUCGAUGCAACGCGAAGAACCUUACCAAGGCUUGACAUACACCGGUAACGCCCAGAGAUGGGUGCCCCUUUGUGGUCGGUGGACAGGUGGUGCAUGGUUGUCGUCAGCUCGUGUCGUGAGAUGUUGGGUUAAGUCCCGCAACGAGCGCAACCCUCGUCCUAUGUUGCCAGCGGGUCAUGCCGGGGACUCAUGGGAGACUGCCGGGGUCAACUCGGAGGAAGGUGGGGAUGACGUCAAAUCAUCAUGCCCCUUAUGUCUUGGGCUUCACGCAUGCUACAAUGGCCGGUACAAAGGGCUGCGAUACCGCGAGGUGGAGCGAAUCCCAGAAAGCCGGUCUCAGUUCGGAUUGGGGUCUGCAACUCGACCCCAUGAAGUCGGAAUCGCUAGUAAUCGCAGGUCAGCAUACUGCGGUGAAUACGUUCCCGGGUCUU